CCCGCACAAGCGGUGGAGCAUGUGGUUUAAUUCGAAGCAACGCGAAGAACCUUACCAGGUCUUGACAUCCUCUGACAACCCUAGAGAUAGGGCUUUCCCCUUCGGGGGACAGAGUGACAGGUGGUGCAUGGUUGUCGUCAGCUCGUGUCGUGAGAUGUUGGGUUAAGUCCCGCAACGAGCGCAACCCUUGAUCUUAGUUGCCAGCAUUCAGUUGGGCACUCUAAGGUGACUGCCGGUGACAAACCGGAGGAAGGUGGGGAUGACGUCAAAUCAUCAUGCCCCUUAUGACCUGGGCUACACACGUGCUACAAUGGAUGGUACAAAGGGCUGCAAACCUGCGAAGGUAAGCGAAUCCCAUAAAGCCAUUCUCAGUUCGGAUUGCAGGCUGCAACU
rnacentral:rRNA from 1 species